rnacentral:rRNA from 1 species
GAGUUUGAUCAUGGCUCAGAUUGAACGCUGGCGGCAGGCUUAACACAUGCAAGUCGAGCGGGGACUUCGGUCCUAGCGGCGAACGGGUGAGGAAUGCUUGGGAAUCUGCCUAGUAGUGGGGGAUAACGUUUCGAAAGGAACGCUAAUACCGCAUACGCCCUACGGGGGAAAGGGGGGGAUCUUCGGACCUCUCGCUAUUAGAUGAGCCCAAGUCGGAUUAGCUAGUUGGUGAGGUAAAGGCUCACCAAGGCGACGAUCCGUAGCUGGUCUGAGAGGAUGAUCAGCCACACUGGAACUGAGACACGGUCCAGACUCCUACGGGAGGCAGCAGUGGGGAAUAUUGGACAAUGGGCGAAAGCCUGAUCCAGCCAUGCCGCGUGUGUGAAGAAGGCCUUCGGGUUGUAAAGCACUUUAAGCGAGGAGGAAUGGCUCUGGGUUAAUACCCUUGAGCAGUGACGUUACUCGCAGAAUAAGCACCGGCUAACUCUGUGCCAGCAGCCGCGGUAAUACAGAGGGUGCAAGCGUUAAUCGGAAUUACUGGGCGUAAAGCGCGCGUAAGCGGUUACGU